AACAUAAGCACAGAAAAUGAGGGACAACAGAGAAGACUGUCUGGCCUCAGACCACCAGCUUUCACACUAAAGGCCUCAGAGCUAGUGUGCUUGAGAAUUCCACCAGAACAUACCAAAGUACAUGCAAACAAAAUCAGAAGACUUCCUCAAGGCAAGGGGGUUUUGGCUCUUUCUCUCCAGUGUGUGAUAUUGAUGCUGUCCCAUUGCCUUCUAUUGUAACCAUGAAGACGGAGAAGCCUGAAGGGGAAAAAACACAGUCCACUGUUUUCUGAGGAAGAACUGUGAGACCCUCUUGCCUCCACUUGUAAUCAUAGGGAAGUGGAAGCUGUGUUUCCUGGAGACCACCUGGGUGAAAAAUGCUAAAUGGACAUCACAGAAGAGCUGCUUUAGAAGUGAAGUUUUGAUUUGAACCACUCAUUUAGUGGUUGUUAAUUAAAUCAAUCUGGUAAUCUGGGUUUUACUUUUUUAAAUGAUUCAUUUAUGAUUCCAAUAUCAUACUAAAGAGGUAGGAAGGAAAAAUAUUCAGAGUAGUAAAAUUAAGGUAGAAGAGUCUAAGAUAAUAAACAACUUCUGUCACUGAUCAUAAAUGGUUAUAAACUCUCCUACUAUCUAUAUAUCUAUAUCAAUAUCUAUAUCUAUAUCUAUCUCUCUAUAUAUAAUGGCAUAAGAACAAAUGUGAAUUUGUUAAUAAUCAAAAUUAUAGGGCAAAUCUAAAUGAGAGAAAAGAAAAUCCUCAAAAAUUUCAAGUAUUUACCCAUCAAUUUUUUUCUUCUGUGUCCCACACUCGUUUCAGAAUACACAUUAAGACUGUCUUCCCACUUAGACAUACUUUCUGUCUCUGGGGAAUGUAAUGCAUACUGUGAUUCUUUAUGGAUUAACUGUAAGUCCAAGACAGUUUUAAGACAUCAAAACUGCCUAACUGGAAACUCUGAGCUGCCCUCAGCCAGUAACCUAGGGGGCUGUGCAACUCAUAGCCUCUGCCUACCUUCACUUGUUACUGCAAUGGAAAUUUCUAUCACUUCUGUUGGGCAGUGACUUUAACGUCUUAUGACCUUUACUUGGCCUGCCUGGUGAGAGUUCUUUGAGGAAUUACAGUUGUGAACAUGUGCUUAAUUUAUUUUUCACCCUCUUUUACACUUUUUUUCUGCAAGUAUUUUAUGUUAUAUUCACACAUAUUAGGAAACUAAUGUCUGUGUAUCUUUCCACACUCACCCUUGUUUUUCUGGGUUUUUUUUUUUUUUUUUUGGUAUAUAGUUUUCUCACCCACUGCUAACUUGGCUUCACACUUUAUUUUUUUAUACUAAAGCUCAUUAGUUUUACUUCCUUAGACUGUUUGUAUCACUCCUUGCUUAAGCCCAGUGAAACUGCCUGCCUUGUCAAAAGGUGUACAGAAAACAAUGACAUUUCUGUUUGAAAUCAUUGCUAGACAUACCAUACUAUUAACAAAAGGUAAAGAUAAGAAAAAGGAGAUCAUUUCUGGCAAGUUUAGAUCUCAGCUUUAAAAAAGUCAAACAUUAGCUUAUGCAAUGAAAGUUUCAAACUGCUGAAUUUAUAAUUUUAAUCUUUUUCAUUCAUCAUGGAAAGUGGAGGCAUAUUUAUCAAACUUACGUAUAUGCAUGUUCAUGUUGGUUUUUGCAUGUCUGAUAAAAACCAAAUAAUCUCUUUUAAGAUGAUCUAAGUCCUUUAAAAUUUUGUUCUUGAAUAAGAAAACUUAGGUCCCUCAAUCUUCUUUAUUUCAAUAGAAGAAUAAUGGUAUGUACUUUUUAUCCAGCAGAAAUAAGCCUAUCCAGUUAAAAUAUUAAGUUAAGCUCGUAUGCUUUGAAAAUGAACUAACAGGAUCAUAAAGAAAACAAAUGCUGCUGUUUCUAAACCAAAGUUUAUAAUGCAUAAAAUAGGAGUUUGUAGGGUUACAAAUUAAAGCUUUACCUUUGACACUUUAACACAAACACAAGAACAUUUAAGUUGUAUCUAUUUAUACAAUUAGGAUUGCAAUUAAAAAUAUUUAACUAGUAUAGCACAGGCAGCAACCAAUGGUAACAGGUACACAUUAUUUCCUUGUGUGCUGGUGCACACCAUUAGCUCUGCGUCAAUUGUUUUGCCAGCAGGUUACUAUAUUUCCUUGUUAUCAAACCAUGGCUUAAUAUUAUUUUCAAUAAAAUGAGUACUUUCACAAAUGAAAUCUUAUUCAGUUUUCCAUGUCAUCAACAGAAGAUGCUUUAACAAAAAUAUUUUCACGCCUAAUUAAAUAGUCAUAAUUCUAGGAUAGCAUAAUCUACAAGGUCAUUAUUAGACUGACCUGUGUGGAGGAGCAAUCCAAAUUUGAGGUGUUAUAUAGAUCUGGGGUGAGGAUGUUUUUUUUUUUUUAUUUUUUUUAAAGAAAGAGAGAGAGAGAGAGAGAGAGAGAGAGAGAGAGAGAGAGAGAGAGAGAGAGAGAAUUUUUUAAUAUUUAUUUUUUAGUUCUCGGCAGACACAACAUCUUUGUAUGUGGUGCUGAGGAUCGAACCCGGGCCGCACGCAUGCCAAGCGAGCGCGCUACCGCUUGAGCCACAUCCCCAGCCCCAAGGAUGUUUUUAAUGUAUGAUUUAUGAUUAAAGUACCCUGACUCAAAAUACAGUUAUAAUUAUGUCUACAAAAAUACUUUUAAGCUAGGCAUGGUGGUGAAAGCCCAUAAUCCCAUUAAUUUGGGAAGUUGAGGCAGGAGGAUUUCAAGUUUGAGGCCAGUCUCAGCAACUUAAUGAGAUCUUCUAUCAAAAUAAAAUAAAAAAGAGCUGGAGUAUAGCUCAGUGGUAGAGUACCCCUGGUUUAAUUCCAGUACCACAAAAAACAAAAAAUGAAAACAGAAAAAUCACUUUGAUUCUCAAAAAUUAUAUUUUCAGAUUAUUAAUAAACAUAUAAAUUGUUUAGAAUGCAUAUAUAUAUGUACUUCAUGUAUUUGAUUGAAUAUUAUGUUAUGUAAUUUUCUAGUAAAAAUACAUUUAUAUAUGAUUUGUAGCCAAAUGAUAUAUUAUAUGUCAUAUUAUACAAACAUGGCAUGUAUAAGAUGUAUGAUUUUACAUAAUAUAGAUACUCCUCUACUUAUGAUAGGGUUAUGUCCAAAUAAAUCCAUUGUACAUUGAA